rnacentral:misc_RNA from 3 species
AACGCACCUUGCGCUCCUUGGUAUUCCGAGGAGCAUGCCUGUUUGAGUGUCAUUAAAUUAUCAACCUCUUUUAAGAGGCUUGGAUUUGGAGUGUUGCUGGCUUUAUAUGUUGGCUCCUCUUAAAUGCAUUAGCUUGUAGGCUUUGGUUUGAUAAUAUCUAUGCCAUCGCUGUAAUGCAAAAAACAACCUUUUGAAAUUUGACCUCAAAUCAGGUAGGACUACCCGCUGAACUUAA